UCUUUCUUUGCUGGCGACCGGCGCACGGGUGAGUAACACUAUCCAACCUGCCCUUUACUCGGGGAUAGCCUUUCGAAAGAAAGAUUAAUACCCGAUAGUAUAAUGAUUCCGCAUGGUUUCAUUAUUAAAGGAUCCGGUAAAGGAUGGGGAUGCGUUCCAUUAGGUUGUUGGUGAGGUAACGGCUCACCAAGCCUUCGAUGGAUAGGGGUUCUGAGAGGAAGGUCCCCCACAUUGGAACUGAGACACGGUCCAA
rnacentral:rRNA from 1 species